rnacentral:rRNA from 1 species
GACGAACGCUGGCGGCGUGCUUAACACAUGCAAGUCGAACGGAAAGGCCCCUUUGGGGGUACUCGAGUGGCGAACGGGUGAGUAACACGUGAGUAACCUUCCCUUGUCUUCGGGAUAACUUCAGGAAACUGGGGCUAAUACCGGAUAGGAAUCCUUGCUGCAUGGUGGGGGUUGGAAAGCUUCGGCGGUUUUGGAUGGACUGGCGGCUUAUCAGCUUGUUGGUGGGGUAGUGGCUUACCAAGGCUUUGACGGGUAGCUGGCCUGAGAGGGCGACCGGCCACAUUGGGACUGAGAUACGGCCCAGACUCCGACGGGAGGCAGCAGUGUGGAAUAUUGCACAAUGGGCGGAAGCCUGAAGCAGCAACGCCGCGGGCGGGAUGACGGCCUUAGGGUUGAAAACCGCUUUCAGCAGGGGCGAAGCUUGUGGUGACGGUACCUGCAGAAGAAGCACCGGCUAACUACGUG